rnacentral:rRNA from 1 species
GGUGUAGGCGGAAUGGUAGGUGUCCUGUGAGAGCCCCCGGCUCAACCGGGGAGGUGCAGAGCAAACCACCAUUCUUGAGGCGGGUAGAGGCAAGUGGAACUAUGGGUGGAGCGGUGAAAUGCGUUGAUAUCCAUGGGAACGCCAGUGGCGAAAGCGACUUGCUGGGCCCGUCCUGACGCUGAGACCCGAAAGCGUGGGUAGCAAACA